rnacentral:rRNA from 1 species
AUUGAACGCUGGCGGCAGGCCUAACACAUGCAAGUCGAGCGGAUGAGGGGAGCUUGCUCCUGGAUUCAGCGGCGGACGGGUGAGUAAUGCCUAGGAAUCUGCCUGGUAGUGGGGGAUAACGUCCGGAAACGGGCGCUAAUACCGCAUACGUCCUGAGGGAGAAAGUGGGGGAUCUUCGGACCUCACGCUAUCAGAUGAGCCUAGGUCGGAUUAGCUAGUUGGUGGGGUAAAGGCCUACCAAGGCGACGAUCCGUAACUGGUCUGAGAGGAUGAUCAGUCACACUGGAACUGAGACACGGUCCAGACUCCUACGGGAGGCAGCAGUGGGGAAUAUUGGACAAUGGGCGAAAGCCUGAUCCAGCCACGCCGCGUGUGUGAAGAAGGUCUUCGGAUUGUAAAGCACUUUAAGUUGGGAGGAAGGGCAGUAAGUUAAUACCUUGCUGUUUUGACGUUACCGACAGAAUAAGCACCGGCUAACUUCGUG